CUGCCCUGGCGUCGGCGCUGCGGGUGUAAGGUUGCCAGGGCAACCAAGGGAAGCCGGAAGUGUAGCUCAGUGCCGCAGAUCGGUUUUUUGGAUUACAGUGACUGAAGGGCGCUUAGAAAAGAGCUUCCCCACAGAAGUACAGAAGAUGCAGAAUGAAUGCUACGCAAAGUACUGGAUAAGAUAAAACUUCCAGCAGCUUCAUAAGCAGUGUCAGACUGGCCAAGCAGGUGGCUGUAAUCCUUGGUGGUCCUGGUGGUCCCCAUUGACUCCUACCCUCAACUCUUGGAAGAAGGUGCUGAAAGCCUCUUGAUCCGGGACAGAUGAAGCAUGCUGAGAUUCCUAAUAAUUUGUUCCACUCAGAACAGUGAAGAUUUGUCAUUUUGCUGGUUGCUGCUGUCUGCUGCCAUUAGAUGCAUUAUUAGAACAUUUGUGUACUCAUUACACAUCACUUGUCUGGACGCGGGACUGACAGUAUAAGCUGCAAACCCUCAUUAUGGAACAUCGUAAAGGGGAACCCCGCCUCCCCAUGCUGGAAGUCAGGGUUACCCAGAAACCGCAGAAACAAAGAUUUGUGCCCCCCCAAGUUUUCAGAUCGUCUCAAGGAGUGCCAAAGGCGAUAGACCGACCACAGAAGGGGAUUAUCUUUCAGAUCCUGAUCACAGUCCGCCUCCAUACAGUGGAGGAAGUUUGUCAAAUUUUUAGAUUUUAUGAAUUGUGCCUCAAGGUGUGUAUUUGCAUAUGUGUCUUUAUCGUUUAACCAGUCUCUCAGGAAUCUCAAUAAAGAUGUGUGGUUAUAAAGUAAAA